rnacentral:lncRNA from 1 species
CCUCAUUUAAGGACUGACAGCCACUCUUGAAGGAGCUCUGGUUGCAGUUUUCUCUUUUGUGGACUUUUCCCUGUGAGCCUAUAUCUUUAGAGACAGAAUGAAGGCUUGUGUAACAAGAGGCCCUUGGAGGAUAGAGAAAGACCUUGUCCCUGCUUCAGGCUGUGAAGGGUAGUACUUGAAGAAUGCAAAUUAUUAACAUCUGCAUGAUGUGGAGGCUCAGACUUUUCAGAGGAGAGGGAUGGGAGACCGAUGUAUUCAUAUGCAAUAGAAUCCUUCCCUCACAUGGCACAAGCUUGAACACAAUUGCAGCCCUCAUGCAGGCUGUGUUUGUGGAGGUGCCUGAAAGUAGAGAUAAAAACCUCCUGUGCUUUGUCUCUUUGAGGACAAGAGAUAAAUAGGUGAAUGAUGUCACUCCUCUUCUGUGACAGGUAACCACAUUCCUCUUUAUAAUACUGUCAAUCUCAUCUUAAAGGUAAGUAGAGUUCUUAUCCUAGUGACUCAGCUCAGUUGCCUGUGCUGGAGCUUCUAAUUGAUGACAGUACAUUCCAUUUUGCAUGCUUUUAUCAGCAUUUAAGAGGGUGGGUUUUCCAUGCACCAAAGGACUGGAAACUUGCUACUAUAACAGGAUCAAGAUGUCCAGGUAUUCUUCCAACAGCAUCAAGGACUUCUUGCUAUCAUGCAUUUCUGAUUUUAUGUUUUACAGAAGCUCCAGUUAUAUGAAGAUAGUUCUAUGGAUCAAUAUGAUAAUAGUUUAGAAGUAAAUCUGUCUUUCUGUAGUAGCCAGAAACACCACCUUUUUCAUACCUCCUCCAUCUCCCAAGCCAGAAGCACCAUGAGACUUUCAGUGAAAUCCUGGGAAUGGCAAGGCUAGCACCAGAGGUGACCAGAAGUUUUGGAAUUUAAAUCCAGUAACUGUGUCUGUUAAUCUUGUAUUGGUUACAAAAAUAAAUUCCCUAAUUGAGGUGCCAUUGUCAAACCUGGAAUUCAUCAGCUCCCCCUGCAGCAGCUGGUAGGCAUUCUUUUCCAACGUAGAAAGCACCACACUGACUAUGGCAUGCCCUGGGCUCCUCUACAGUGAUGUCUCUUACAAACAUCUCCAGUGCUAAGCAAGCAGGGUGACAGUAAAGUGCUCUCUUCCUGCAGGACUCCCGUAUCAAGUACAUAAAAAAAACCAUAGUGUGUGAAAACAAUGAAAUAGCUAUAUUUAGUCAUUUCUAACUUGAAAUAGAGCUUCUGCUUGAAAUGAGUUUACUAUGAGGUCCGGUAAAAAUCAUAGAAUCAUAGAAUGGCUUGGGUUUGAAGGGACCUCAAAGAUCAUCUAAUUCCACCCUCCUGCCAUGGGCAGGGUUGUCAACCACUAAAUCAGGUGCUAGAUCAGUCUGCUCAAGGUCCCAUCCAACCUGGCUUUGAACACCUCCAGGGAUGGGACAUCCACAAGUUCUCUGGGAAACCUGUUCUAUCAUAUCACCAACCUCUGACUGAAAAAUGUUCCACCUAACAUGUAGCCCAAAUCUCUCCUCUUUUAGUUUAAAACUGUUCCUCCUUGUCCUAUCACUAUUGGACCAUGGAAAAAGUUGGUGUCCCUCCUGUUUAUAGGUUCUGCUCAAGUACUGGAUGGCCGCAGUGAGGUUUACUCAGAGCCUUCUCAUCUCCAGACUGAACAAGGCUCCUUCAACCUUUCUUCAUAGGAGAGGUGUUCCAGCCUUCUUUGUGGCCCUCCUCUGGAACUGCUCCAACAACUCCUUAUCUUUCUUAUGCUGGGAACCUCAGAUGCAGUACUCCAGAUGAGGCAUCACAAGGUCGGAGUAGAGGGGGACAAAAACCCCUCUUCUUGUGAACUCUGGCCACUCCUCUUCUGAUGCAGCCCAAGAUGUAGUUGGCCUUCCAGGCUGCAAGCACACACAGCUGGCUCAUGUCCAGCUUUUAAUCCACCAGAACCCCCAAGUCCUUCUCUGCAGGGCUGCUCUCAAUUAGUUCUUCUCCCAGUCUGCACACGUCUGGAAUUGCUGUGACUUAAGUGCAAAACCUUGCACUUCACCCUACUGAACCUCGGUAUGUUCAUGUGGGCUCACUUCUCAAGCUUAUCCAGGUCCUUCUAGAUGGCAUCCCUCCCUUCUAUUAUAUCAACUACAUCACUUAGCUAGGUGUCGUCAGCAAACUUGCUGAGGGUGCACUUGUUCCCACUGUCUAGGUCACUGAUAAAGAUGUUAAAGAGCACCUGUCCUAAGACUGACAGACAUGACUUUUCAAAUAGGAUGAAGAGUGGCUUGGCAUUACAUCAGCCACUUCCACUGGAACUCUGGGAUGCAUGUUGUCCAGCCCAAUAGGCUUGUACAUAUUCAGUCUCAUGAGACAGUCUUGGACUUCCUCUUCUCUUACAAUGAGAGGGUUUUGCUCCUCCAGCCCCUGCCUGGAGGUUCAGUGUCAUGAAAUAUGUGGGAAGCCUGACUCUCAGUGAAGACCAAGGCAGAGAACUUGUUAAGUAUCUCAGUCUUCUCCAUGUCUGUUGUAGCCAGUUCUCAUUAAUCAGAGAGGGUAUAUUCUCCUUGAUCUGUGUCUUCUGACUAGUGUACCUGUAGAAUCCCUUCUUGUGAUUUUUCACAUCCCUCACCAAAUUCAGUUCUAUGUUUCUUUUGAAAUUGUUCCUAAGCAGGAAGAGGAGAUUCAUAGAGGAUUUAGGAAAACACAUCUUCAUGUUUCAGAAUCUUUAGGCAUUUCACUGAAAUACAGAAAUGUCUGUAACAUAAUGCAUUCUGCACAACUUAUUCUUCUAAGGCAACAUAUGAUAAAUUCUACUAUAAAGCCGUAGAAAUGAUACACGAAGCUUUCUAGGAUUUACAUGUUGCUUUGCCUUUUCAAUAACUUCUCUAAAACCCCAUGUAUCAUAGUCUAAUGAUGAUCUAUAACUAACAGUGGAGAAAAGGCAUGUGAGACAUUGAGAAUUACAUUGUCAUAAUGUGGCAUAUCUAUUUCAUUCAUAUUUCAUUUAUGUAGUUCAGGCUUUAGUUUUCAAUCCAAAAAUAAGAACUGGAAUAAAUUCAAUGAGGAAUCAAAGAAAUCCCACCAAAUGACCAAAAUAUUUCCCAAAUUCCUAUUUUCAUUAUUCAUAUUUCAAGGAAUUAAGUAUUGUUGUAGUGCAAGAAAUAACUGUACUCUACUCUUAGGGUUAUGAAAUGGAUAAGCUAUUAGGAAUUUUCUAUUUCUAACUGAUUGUGAUCUCACAUCAGUAUACCUCUGCUCACUUUUAAGGAAUUACCUCAGAAUUACUCUUAUGACAAAGGAGAGCAGGCUCCUGCAAUUCUAUAACUACUCAUACUAAGCUGUUCACACAUGCCUCCCAGAGUAAGGGCUUUCAAGAGAAUAUUGUGGAAAUUAGAUUCCAGUUUUCAUCACUUCAUUUAAUCACUUACUUUGGCCUACUGAUCACUUCUGCUGCUGUGCAUGUGUUUGUCCUUGUAAGUGAGGUCAGACUUCUGGAGAAAGGAAAUGUCCUCUUCAAAGCCAGCUGAUAUUGCUUCAAGAAAAAAGAAUUUAUUGAGCACUCCACUACAUACAAAUGCCUCCUGUAUAUUUACAUGGAAACUAAAACAGAGAGCACAACAACACUAUUUGAUAAAUUCUCAACUACAGAACACUAUUUUUCAACAUAAUCACUACCAUUAACUACGCAUUUUCGGCCGCAAUGAACAAUAGCCUACACACCACCCUUGUAAAAAUUUGAACCAGUGGAGGUGACCCACUGUUUUCUAGCUGCUCUGCUAGGAAAAUGUUGCCAGUGCACUCUUCCUUUUAUCAGCCCAAACUGAUGAAAGUCAGAUGACACCACAUAUGGACCACACGGUGAGUGUGGUAGGACAGUCCAGCCAAUGUGCUCGGUGGUCUUCAAACUGGUAUGGAGCCUGGUGUUACUGUGUUGCGAGAGAUACCUUAUCUUAUUCUCUGACCUGACUCUGGAAGUUCAAGUCUUCAGCUUAGUGUCAUGAUACAGUGGUCAGAGUUAAUGGUUAGGCUGAAUUCCAGGAAAUCCAGAAGGAUCACCCCUUUCCUAUCCCAAAAGACAGUGCACAUCACUUUAACCUGUCUUGAAUAUUUUUUUCAGUGGGGAAUUCAUGUUGCUAGUCCAUGGAUUGCUGUUUUGACUCCAGCUCAUAGUGGCAACACCACAUCUCAUUACCAGUAGUGAUGCAAUCCAAGAAACUGUUACCUUCAUCCUCAUAUUGGUUCAAUAGGUCCUGAUAAAUUUGUUUAUGGUGUUCUUUCUGUCACUGUGUGAGCAUUUUUGGGACCCAAGUGGCUCAAACGUGGCAAUGUUUCAUUGUUACUACCAUUAUUUCCAACACACUGAAGCUGCAUGAUAGCUCCAUACACAGUUCCCUGCUCAUAAGCUGCCAAUAUGCAUGGACAAACUGAUCAAGAUGCUCUUCAUUUCAUGGUAUGGCAGCUGUGCAUGGCCAUUCAUUUGCACGUGGCUUGUCUUUCACAUCUCUGUCACCACUGUUGAAAUUCAUCACUCACCACCUCACUGUGCUAGUAUCCACUGUUUGGUCUCUAUAAGCAUUCAGCAAGUGUCAAUGAAUGUCAAUGAGUGCAAUUUUUUUGCAUCGAGGAAUUCAGUGACACAUCUUUACUUCAUACGUACUUCCAUGUCAGACACCAUGUUAUCAGACAGCCCUUCUGCUGCCAUCUGUUGCAUGGCAACAAAAUUUAAUGACAUUUUUUAAUGAAAUAUUUGAGGGAAGUUCAAACCACCAACAUCUGCUUCUGACCUCGUGGGCCAGCAUAAUAAGAAGAAUUACUUGCAGAGCAGCCCUUGUAAUUCUAAUCUUUCCUAAGACAAAGUUUUACUCCUAAUUAAAUUUGUUGUUGUUGUUAUUGGUUAUAGUUUCUAAGGAAAGGUGGAUUGUAGUUAAAAGAUCAUAAGCCAGAUCUUAAUUUUUUCUCCUGUCAAGAGGAAACUAACUCUUACCUAGAUGCUAUGACAAUUCAUUUUUUAAGAUUCGUAGGAAUACUCUAAGGCUCUCACUUCAAAUAUGACAUAUGGUUCUCAUCCACUAAGUAUGUAAGUUUUGUACUUAGCUCUAAGUGCUGGGAAUAGUCUCACUGAGGUGAUGAGUGUGCUUAUGUCCUUUCAGGCAUUGUGAUCGUUUUGUGCACCUUCUUCUUCUGUUAUGGAUUCCCUGAAAAAGUCACGAGUAUUUGCCACUCCGCUCUUCCCUUGUGCUCCUUUUGCCCUAUCUCAAAACGAACUUCUUAAAUGUUUUAACAGAGUUGCUAAGCUGAGAAGUGGUGUUCAGCAGUUCCUUGGCUGCACUUUGUGCACAGGGAAACACAGCAGAAGGGGCUGAAAGGUCUGAAGGUCAUUCUCACUAGCUCAUUCCUAUACAGUACAGUUAGCAUAUAAAUGACUUGCAGUAUGUAGGCCAUACAGUCAGGCACAGAAUAAUGUAGGUCAACAGAGAUCUCUGAAGUCUGGCACAUAGCGCAGGGCUAAUUCCAGUUCUAGAAAAAAGUUAUCAGGGUCUUCUCUAGUCAAGUUCUAAAUAUCCCAAUAUUUGUAUAUUAUGUACUAGUAAGUGCCAAACCAAUUAUCUCUAAUGAAAUGCAAUAGAGAUGAGCUUGAGGUUUGGAAUCAGCUAUGGUUCAGGGCUGGAGUCAGAUUUCAGAUGAUCUUAAGAUUCAGGGAUUUAGCACUGCCACCUUGGCCUUUUUAUCUAAGGAUCUCUUAUAUUACUUUAAAUGGAAAGUAGCAGUUUAACCAAUCUAGUCUGACAGAGCUGAAUCCAGCAUUUAUUAGUAUACACAGAAGAAAAGAAGUAGCUUCUGCAGUCUCUUGAUUAACUGAGCAUAAAAUGAACCACCCACACCUUUGUGUUUUAAUUAGAUGUGGAUGAAUUUGUUCAAACCACAGUUGAUGUACUGACUCCUCUACAAGUACAUUAACCACUAAGUUUUAUUUUUUCCCUGAGAAAAUCAAUUUUUCCUGAAUGGGAAUGGAAUUCAGAAGCGCUCUCAUAGUGUUUCCGUAGCCCGGAGCUUUCUGAGACACAGCUGUUACUUGGCUGUAACUUCAACUGCAAUGGCUGGUUGAACACAGACGUAGUAUUUGGUCGUUCGAUUCACUUACUGACAUAGGGGAAAGGAGAGCAGCUUGCGGUGUGGCGUGUAGAGGUGCCAGCCCGCAGGUGGGGCAUCGCUGCCCUCUGCUGGAUGCUGCCGUCCGGCGGGCUUCUUCCUCCUUUUCCUCUCACCCCCUGGGAUGGGGAUGCAACUUUGCCUCUUUUUAAUUGAGCAGAGAAAUUAUUUAUGUGUGUAUUUGCUGCAGAGGAACAGCUGCACUACAAUUUUAUCUGUGUUCCUUGAAAUUUAUUUAUGUGUCUUAAAAGUCUGUCUCAGGUGAGCUCUGAUUUCAUACCUCUGAACGCUUUGAUUUGUUUGCUGUGAAUACCUUACAACAUCACUCCUACUGAUGCUCUUGCAGAAGUUGAAGUAUGUGUAUGACAAGAGCUCAUGGAUCCAUCUUGAAUUUGAGAGAUGUGCAGGCUGGAACCAUAUCCUGCAUCACCUCCUCUCAUCUGACGAGCAAUCAUGCAGUGGGAAUAUGCAGGGGAAAUAGUGAAGUUAAGAGAGGGCACUGAAAGCAAAUGAUGUGGCAAACACUGAAAGCAAAUGAUGUUGCAAACACCUUGAGAGAGAUCUGAAGACAACUAUCCAUAAACUGUCUUCAUGGCACCUCAAGCAAAAAAAAGUAUGAAAAUCUCUAUCAUCAGAAUGUUGCCUGCGUAAGAAAGAUGUGGUAUUUAGAAACUGCAGGGAAGGUAAACCAUCUUACUUUGAACAUGGGCAGUUGUGUUGAGGUAAAAGAUCUUCAUAUUUUUUAUGAAGUUCUUUGUGGAUAAAGACAUCUACUGAGGUCUUAGGCAUCUCUGUAGAGAUUCAGAUGUGCUUGAUAGCAGUGCAAAUUUGAUGGUCUUUUUUAAAUGAGGCAUUAUGCCUGUACCAGAUAGGUAUUGAGUAACCUGACGAAAAAAGAAGCAGAUGUGACACCAGUAACAGAUUUACCUUUGUCACAUCCCAAGGCCCCAACUUCAAGUUCAAGUAAAUUAUCAGUAAGACCCAUUUUAACUCCCAUAGGAAAUCACCUGCCCCAUGGUGAGACCAAAGGCCAGCAGCUACAUUUGGGAAACUGAUGAGACUACUGCAAGCUCAUCAUGGAAUGCUCUCAUUACAGAGGACAUUGCAAAGGCAGGACUGUAAGCGGCUUUGCCUUGGUGCCGGCACUGACUGUGACAGUGGAGGGGGCAGGGUAACAGUGGGUUAAGAGAGCUAUUGGAGUGCAUGGCAUGUAGAAUUUCACUCUUGAUGUUCCUGCUCCAAGUGAGGCUCAUUCAGGCUCUUGUGGCCAAGUCACCUCUCUGAUCCAACUUUUUCUGUGUAGACAGAUGAAAAAUGUGCCAUGUCACUCACUGAAUCCCAACAGAAAUCUCACCUAAGUGUGUUAAAAGCACAUGAAACUCGUGUCAUUGAAGUAAAAUUUAAAAAUCGUCAGUCUUCUAGAUAAACCUGCCCGAACAUGCCCACAUAAUUAGUGAACAAACAUGAGGGAGAGAUAGAACCUUGACAUGGAGUUUGUAUCAUAAGUAAUGUGAAAACUAAAUUCAGCCUGACUGACCCCAGGGAGAUAAAAACAAAAUAGAUGUGAGCUUCUGUUGUGAUAUAGCAGAAGGAAAUAAAUGUAACAUAGGGCUUUAUCUGGUGGGCCAAGUGAGAAAACGCAGAGUGGGGAAAUGGGCAGAUCUCUGAAAGGCACCAGAAUGCUUCAUUAUAGCAGGAUUUGUGAGCAGCCAUGGACUCCUUCUUUAGCAAGGGACUUCUGUGUACAAUAAAUUUGAAUACUUCAGACUUCAGGGGACUUGGGACAUAUAUGAAAAGCAGAGGAAUUUGAGGCCAUUUAGGCACAUGUAGGUAUCUGGAAUACCUUUAAAAAAAUCUACCCUGGCAGUUGAGUGAGUGUAUACAUAUCUGUUCUUUAAGAUAAAACCAUAGAGUCCAACAGAGGAACUAUCUGUAGCAUGGCUGUUUAGCAUCAGUUUGGGAGAAGGCAGAGAAAAUAUGAUAUGCCAAGUUCUGAUCUCAGUUUUUACAGUUUUUGUAUAGAAUAGCAAACCACUUAAUUUUGUGCUUAAGACAAAGCACAAUAUAAAGGCAUACAAACAAGCUCUGCACUUGCGGUUCUUCCAUAUUGAAGGCAGGGUGGCAGAAAACUCUUAAGAUGUAUAAGGUGGCACUCAAUGAGUCACAGAAAGGAAUUUUGGAACAUUUUUUCUUGCGGAUGUAGUGAACAAAUUAAACUUUCCUAAAGAUCCCUACCUCUUUUUAAAUACUCCGUGGGUCCUACAUCAGUAAUUUAAUCCUCCUAAGUGUCAGUUAUCUUAACUGUGAAAUAUGCAAAAAUGUUAAUUCUCCAAGUGUUGUCACUGGAUAAUGAAACAGCUCUUUGAACAGAAGAUACCAUAAAAGCUUAUUAUUUUAAAUAAUAGGUAUGUAUUCCUUCUUAAUGGUGAAUUAAAUGUAAUUGCUUUGCCUAAGGAAAAAACAAACCAACUUGUUCUGCUGAUAUAUUUCACUUACUGUUAAAGAACAACUGUCUGUGUAAAGCCUGAUUCCCUCAGGUGCAGAUUUAUGACAGCAGUGACUGCUGGGAUUAAGUAUCCUUGUAUAUUUGGCCCCAUGGCUUGCCUCAGUACCUGGAACACCUCUGGGAAGAAAGCUGUACGUGGCUGAGUUAAGUCACACUGUUCUGUUAUGAAUUACUCAGAACUGGAUUCUGAAAAAUAGAUAAUGUUAUCUGAAAUCUAGUCUUUUUCCUGUCUGUUAAUUUGAGACCAGUGAGUAUUGCAUUAGAAUUGCACUAGUGGUGUCUAUUGAGUUUGGACUUGUAAACUGCUUUUUAAAGUUAGGCAAACUUCUAUGAAUUAUUAAUGUCUGUGUCUUUCCCUUACUCCAGAGCCUUGUUUAACUGUCUAUGAAAUUGGUUAACAAUGGAGAAAGUAAAAUACAGUCUCUGGAAUAUUCACUGAAAGGAAAUGCUUUUGGAGUGACACAGAUCUCCAAAAUAAUUUCCCAUUAAAUGCUAUAAACAUUUAUUUCAAUAUUUAUUUAGCAUUAUCACUAUCACUGCAAGAAACCCCAAAGUUUAAGGAUCACAAUGGCAUUUUACUGUCUCUCACCUUUAUCGUACCAUACCUAGCAGCUGCAUAACAUUAUGUAGACAUUAUUCAAUGAAACACAAUAGCAAUGGCAUAAGAUAGAUAAAUAUUACUCUUAUUACAAAGCCAAGAAAACAGAGGCAAAAAUAUAACAACUGACAAGGUCACAGGAGUCAAUGUAUUAUUUUAUAGUAAAUAAAUACUUUCUUCUCAACUCUUUGAUACACAAGGUACAUCUCAUGAUAACAAACUGCUAUUCUUUGAGGCCAGUGCCCAGGAUGGCUUCCUAACAGCAGCCAGACAGCAACAGUGGAGAAACUACUUGCAGUGAUCCAAAUGUCAUUGUAGUAGUCAUGUUGACCAUGGAUGUCUUCUAGACAUCUCUUCUGUUAGAGAGGAUCCAGAGGAGGGCCACAAAGAUAAUUAUAGAGCUGGAGCACCUCCCCUACAAAGACAGGCUGAGGGAGCUGGGCUUGUUCAGCCUGGAGAACAGAAGGCUGCAGGGUGACCUCAUUGCAGCCUUCCAGUACCAAGAAAGCUAACAAACAGGAGGGGAGUCAACUCUUUACAAGGGUAGAUAAUGGAAGGACAGGGGGAAAUGGUUUUAAGUUGAAGGAGGGAAGAUUUAGAUUGGUUAUUGGGGAAGUUCUUUACUGUGAGAGUGGUGAAGUGCUGGAACAGGCUGCCCAGAGAGAUUGUGGAUGCCCCAUCCCUGGAGGUGUUCAAGGCCAGGUUGGAUGGGGCUUUGGGCAGCCUGGUCUAGUAUUAAAUGUGGAGGUUGGUGGCCCUGCCUGUGGCAGGGGGGUGGAUCUUGAUGAUCCUUGAGGUCCCUUCCAACCCAAGCCAUUCUAUGAUUCUGUGUCCUUCAGUACAACAUCUGAAUGUUUCUUGAACACCUGCAGGGAUGGUGACUCCACCAAUUCCCUGGUCCUUUCAUUCCAGUGUCUAAUUACUCUUUCAGCAAAGAAGUAUUUCCUAACACCCAACUUGACCCUCCCCUGGAGCAACUUGAGGCCAUUCUCUCUAGUCCUAUUGCUAGUUACAUGGGAGAAGAGGCUGCCCCUCACCUUGGCACAACCUCCUUUCAGGUAGUUGUAGAGAGCAAUAAGGUCUCCCCUGAGCCUCAUCCAGUCUAAACAAUUCCAGUUUCCUCAGCUGCUCCUCAUAAGACUAAAUAAUAUUAAAAUGUCCUUUCUUUGAAAUAUCUUUAAAUGGAUCAAGGGGGAGAACAUUACCCCCUAGAUAAAACUAUUCCUGGACAUAUCCCAGGAUUUCUGGGAUCACCCUACUACAGGCUUGCAGUUAUAAGUGAGAAAUGGGGUCCUCUGUGAGUUAGCGAAAAUAUUUCUUCCCUGUCCCACAUGGCACCAGCUAACCUCAUCCACCAUGGCAUGGCCAUUAUUGAAUACUUUAAAUCAAGCAGAACUAUCAAACAAUACUUCAGAAAAUGAAAAUCAACUACUACAAGAUCAUACUGAAAAAUUAGAACAACUUGGCACAUUAACAGGAGAUAAAUCAAGCCUAAUUUUCCCUAUAAAACAGCUCCACAACAUUACAUUAAAAAAUAUCCAGGCUCCUAAAUCAAUGGACCUGGAUGAUUCAGAAAACAAAACUUCAAGGUUGGAUCUUGAAGCUCCAUCUGAAAUGGGUCCCUUUGAGAUCCAACGUAUAAUAGCUCAGAAAACAAAGAAAAUACAGGAUAGACCAGCAGGGGUGCCCCCUGAUCAAUGGCUCCUUGCCCAAACUCAUUUGCAUGUAGCAGCUCACCCUUAUACAGCAACAGAAUGAACGGACUUACUACAGCGAUUCCAGCAGAAGCCUAGAGAAAGUAUACCAGCCUGGCUUCUAAGGUUAUGGGACUCACGGACAGAAAGUGUUGUGGUUAAUGGACCAGAAAUUUCUAAGUUGGCAUUCAUCACCUUAGACCCUGCCCUCAGACAAAGAUUAUAUGCCACCAUUCAACAUCUGGAUGAAAACCAUUCAUUAAUAGAUUAUAAGACCUGCACAUAGCCCAUAUAAUUCCCCCAUAUGGCCAGUGCAAAAGUCAGAUGGCACGUGGAGAAUGACAAUAGAUUAUAGAGAAUUAAAUAAGGUCACACUGCCUGUUCAUGCAGCCAUACCCAAUAUUGCCUUUCUAACAGACAUAUUGAGUAGGGAAAUAAAAACCUACCAUUGUGUCCUAGACUUGGCAAAUGCAUCCUUCAGUAUUACAAUUGCUGAAGAAUUGCAAGACCAGUUUGCAUUUACAUGGGGAGACAGGCAAUGGACCUUUCAGGUACUGCCAUAGGUGUAUGUACAUUCACCAACCUGGCAAACUGGGGAAAAAAAAAUUAAUAAUGUUAGCUUGUAUCACUGUACUGAUGAUCUCCUGUUGACUUCUGACUCACUGGAGGCAGUUGGACAAGGGGCACAUUCAUUGACUACCUAUCUGCAAGAAGCAAGGUCUGGGCCAGUCUGUGAAAUUCCUGGGGGUAAUUUGGUCAGGAAGGACCAAAGGACUACCCAGUGCUGUCAUAGAUAAGGUUCAGGCAUUCCCAGUCCCUACAACACCACAGCAGCUGCAGGAGUUCUUAGGUAUAUUGGGAUAUUGGCGUUUCUUUGUACCUCAUUUAGCACAGCUGCUGAGACCAUUAUACAAACUCACAAAGAAGGGGCAACUAUGGGACUGGGGGAGAAUGGAACAGGAGGCUUUCCAACAGGCAAAACUGGCUGUUAAACAGGCCCAGGCAUUGGGUAUAUUUGAUCCUACCCUCCCAGCUAGGUUGGAUGUUCAUGUCACUCAGGAUGGGUUUGGCUGGGGCCUGUGGCAAUGCCAAGUUUCUGCUUAGACCACCACUGAGUUCUGGUUUCAGGUCUGGCAUGGAGCAGAAGAAAGAUACUGUGUGAUUGAAAAACAGUUAUUGGCUGCUUAUUCCGCAUUAUGGGUGGUAGAGCUAAUAACCCAAAGAGCUGAGGUCAUAGUUUAUUCAACCAUGUCAGCCAUGUUUGGCUGCCAAUUCAGGGGUGAGUGAAAGAUCUGACUCGUCUUCCUAAGACAGGAGGUGGCCCAAGCACAAACGGUGGCAUGAUGGGUUACCAAUCUCAACCAGAGGAGUAGUCUGUCUUCAUCACCACUGAAAGAAGAACUUCCAUAGAUCUUAGACCCAGUGACAUAUCACAGUGAUGCACUGAAAAAAAACAUUGGUUGAUCCACCUGAGAGGAGUCCCAAUCAGGAGGGGAAAUAUCCCUUUCCUGAAGAUGCCUGGUAUAUGGAUGGAUCCAGCGAGGGCAACCUGAGCAAGUGGAGAGUGGUAGCAUACCAUCCCUCCACUGAAACAAUCUGGUUUGAACAGAGGGAUGGUCAGAGUAGCCAAUGGGCAGAACUGCGAGCUGUGUGGAUGGUUAUAACCAAGGAACCUGGUGAAAGUAUCCUGCACAGAUAGCUGGGCUGUGUACUGGGAGCUCACUCUUUGGAUUGCACAGUGGGCCACCCAGGACUAUCCACGCCUGACAAAUUUGGGGCAGAGAUACGUGGUUAGACAUACGGAAUGUGGUUAAACACAGGACCAUACAUGUCUACCACAUUUCUGGUCACCAACACCUACAGUCACCGGGAAAUGAUGAAGUCAACACACUGGCCCAAGUCCGAUGGAUUGAGAAUUCACCAUCUGAGAACAUUGCCCACUGGCUACAUCAGAAGCUGUGGCAUGCUGGACAAAAGAUAAUGUGGGCAGCUGCUAAAGCAUGGGGGCUGCCCAUACAACUGGCAUUGCCCUGGCAUGUCAAGACUGCGACGCUUGCUCCAAGAUGAGACUGAGAUUGUUGCCUGAAAUAACAGUUCAUCUUGCUAGAGGACACAAUCCUCUCCAAUGAUGGCAGGUCAGUUACACUGGGACCCUCCCUCAGUCUGAAGGGGUGAGAUGUGCCCUGACCUGCGUUGACACCACAAGUGGGCUAAUGCAGGCCUAUCCAGUGCCAAGCAAGAAUGAACCAGGCAUAUACCAUCAAGGUGCUCACCAAGUUGAUGAUCACCUACGGGACACCUCAACUUACCAAGAGCGACCAAGGGACUCAUUUUACUGGCACUAUGAUACAACGCUGGGCAGAAGAAAACAACAUUGAACAGCGAUUCCACCUGCCAUAUAAUCCAAUGGGGGCAGGCCUUAUUGAACGCUAUAAUGGUAUUCUUAUGACUGUUCUGAAGACAGACUCAGUCCCUGCAGGGGUGGACAAAGAGACUCUAUGAAACCCUGUGUGACCUAAAUGAAAUGCCUAGAGACAGCAGACCCAGUGCCUUGAAAAUGCUACAGACAACAUGGGCCUCCCUGCUUAAGAUCCAAAUGACAGGCACCUGAUCGAUAAUCAGGUAAGACCUCAAAUUGGCAAUGAAAAUAACUUUCUCCUCCCUGCCCCUGAGAAUCUAGAACCAGGAACCCAUAGAAGAAAAUGGCCUUGGAAGGUGCAAGUAAGACCAAAGUGGUGUGGCAUACUUGCACCUUGGGGGAGAUUAUUGGAGGUGGGAGGCUCGGUAGUUCCUCUGGUAAUCAGUACAUGGCCUUCUGACAUUGUGGUCAGCACUCCGGUGUUCAUUGGUAAGGGGACCCUCAUCAUGUCCCUGUGGCAGAUCAGGACUCCCCCUUUGGUGCCUGAUAUAGUUAUGCAGCUACAGAUAUCUGGCCAAUGGGUGUGGUACAGACGGCUGGGACAUAAACCCAGUGCAAGCCGAAGUGUUAACCCAGGAUAGGAAUAUGGCCUGUAUCUUGCCCUGGAGGGCAGACCUUCCCCUCCUGAUACCACUGAAACAUCUGUAUUACUCCCCGUGAGUAUUUUAGUCUCCAGGAUCACCGGAAGAAAUGAAAUGCCAUUGAAGUGUUUCACUGUCGCUGUGAGAUCAAGCAUGACACCGGGUGAUGGCCUCUAUAGAUGGAACAUAAGAUAGACCUGCACCAAACAACUGCAUGCCUCCAGUAACACCACUGAAUACUGGCUCAUGAAAGAACACAACCUUCGGCUGUGAAUCGACCAUUGAUCAUCUUGUGUCAACCUGCAUUGCGAUGGGCAGUUGUACAAGUAUCAUGGUGCAUCGGAUCUUUGUAUUAGGGAAGGCUCACCCUUCAACCAGCCCAAUCAUUGGUUCAUGCUGUGAACCUUAGAUCUCUUAGAUCUCAUUUCUUUGACCUUUUGGAUUGUAACAACCAGUAUAAUAAAACAGAAGGCAUUACUUUCAUAGCAGCCCUCAUACAAUCAGGCACAUUAGAGAUGCCUCCAUGCCAAACAGAAAAAUAGCACAGCCACACACGUUAUCACCACAGCUCCUGAAUUACUGAGAAGAUAAUUAAUGAUCACAGAAACAGACUUAAUCAUGGGAGAAUCUUCCUGAGAUCUGCUCUUCCUGACAAUAUUGUCAUGAGUUUACCAGUGACCAUGGCACUCCCAGCCUACAUUUACAAUAUCAGGAAAUAUCAGAAAAUGACAAUGUCUAGGAAAUUAAAUCGUGCUAGAUUGGAUUCGGGUUUUAGUUGUACAGUCAUAAAUCAGGAACAAUUGAUGGAUGGAGCCCAGUUCUGCUGCUCUGAAAUUAGUCGAUGAUAAGAAUUAAGUCCCUGUGGUUUGAUGGAUUGGUGCUUCCUGCCCUUCUGCUCCAGCACAGGGACACAGAAAGAACCAAGCGUCAAUGUUCGCUUCUGAGAAACAGGGAAUCUAAUACCCAUAAAUGCCAGCGGAAGGAUCUUCACACAAGGUAUUGCACAUAGGGCUCAGAUGAACAUCCUACUCCAAUCUCUUUUUUGAGAAUAACCGACUUGUUUAAGAAAGUACAUUUGUCAUUCAUCACAAAAUCAUUUCUGGGACAACCUUUGUUAGCUGCGAAGACAAAGAAUGAGUCCUUCAUCCUUAGUGCAGCAAGAUGAAAUUUGGUCUCUACAACUUAGAGAUUCUGGUGUCUCCUCCCCAGCUGUAACGGGGCCAAGCCAGCUUCUUUCUCUCCUGUAUUCCUUAUCCGAGAGGGUCCAACGUGAUGUGACAGCUGGUCAGGAGUGGUGGAGUAGAGUUGUUUAUGUUUCAGAUCAUUCAAGAGGCAUCAUGACUGAAAGUUCUUGCAUUCUAUUUAUUAUAUUAUUUCAAGUAGUACGUAUUUUAUAGAUCACAUCUCCUUUUAUAGAUCAUAUGAUAUUUAUAUACAUAUUCUAUUAUUCUAAUAUGAAUGCCUCCCUGAAAUCCAUAUGUGUUUCUCAGUCCCCUUUUCAGUAAUAAGAAAGCCCAAUCCCUUCCCACAUAGAGAAAUGCUACAUUUCAGUCUGUUGGUACCUGUAACACAUUGCUCUACCCCUGCGUCAUGUUUUUAACAGCCUGUAACCCAGGAUAAGUAGCUAGAGCAGCAGGCUAGGAGCUGGUACUGACAUGUGGACUUGGCUUUUUGCUGCAUUCAAGUAAAGUCUUUGCUCCUCUUUCACCCUAGCUUUAAUUGGUGUAAUUUGUGUAAUGAACUUCAAAGGUCAUAGCCUUUCCUGUAUUUUCUCAGCUCUUUCUGCUCAUCCAAAUUGUUGAUACAGCUUAGACCUCACAGUUGAGAUAUGGCAAUUUACACAUAGAAAUAAAUAUAUAAAUAAAAAUAAGGAAAAAUGAAAACAAAGGUGUGUAACUCUUACCUUUAUAGAAUAUCAGGGCAAGCAUCUGCUUCCAAAGCAAGAACAUUGUUUAACUAAAAAUGAGCACAUGGAAAUGAGUGUUUUUCUCCUAAUUACUGUGAAAAUAUGUGUUACUAAAGCUUUUCCUCAUUAACAUUUUCUCUUUGACUAGACAAUCAGGAAAGGAUAGUAUCUAUGUAAUAAAACUCACUUAUCACUGUUGCACAUUGUAUGAAAUACUUGCCACUGGAAGAGUAUUUUUUAUGUAUCCUCCACUCAGCAGCCAAAACUAUUUUUGAUCAGAUUUUUUUCUGCCCCAAAUUAAAAACAAUGUGAGCUAUUUUCCAUAAACCAAUGAAAUACAUCAUCCAAAGCUGUUCACCAUUCUUCAACAGAACAGACCAGGUGUAGCCUUUCUUAUUACAGUUUUGCUUCUGAAAGUGACUUCAUAAUAAAAGUUCUUGAAGAUUUUUAUGAAACUUAGGGAAAAGGGGAAGUGCUUGGCUCACUUCACUGUUAGUGAUGAAAAUCAAUGCCAGGACAAGCAUAACUUCAAAGAAUGCCUCAAGAACCCACUUUAUAAUAAAAAGACUAUGAAAGACACUCAAAUUCUUCAUCUGGGUAGGAAAAAAAAAAAUAGAAAGAAGGCAGAGAGUGAAAGGGAGAUUUCCUUUCACCAUACAAUGAGAGAUCACUUCACACUUUCCCUUGGUAUGUUAGAUGGUCAGUUGUAAAGCCAUGUUAUGUGAAUAGAUGGAGGUAAAGGAUCUCAACUUUCACUGGAACUGGGUGAUGCCUGGGAUGAUGGGCAAGACAGGGCCCCACCACAGGGGCUAACAGCACAACUCCCUGCAACCUGCUGGGCAGGCAGCAAUACUCACAAGAGAAUCUCAAUAGGUUCUCAGCAGACUGGCACCUAAAGCCUCAGACUUGUAUAGGCACUUCACAUUUAAGAGCAUGGCUAAUCCAAUCACCAGCAGAUUUGAAGCUGUGUACCUCUCAUAUAGCAUAUUUUUGUAGGCUUAAAGUCAAUCUUCUCAUCAGCCCUCCGUCUGUGCAAGCAGGCAGAUUCCUUCCUUGAACACACAGAAGUAACCCUCCUUACUCAGCCCAUCAAUUUAACAGCUUUAUACCUUCAAAUCAGUUAAAUGGAUGCAGCACAAGAAGGUCAGAGUAGUGUGGUGAGUGGUGGGAGGCAACUGUUCCAUGCUGGCAAAAAAAAAAGUCAUUCAGAAUGCUGAAGGCUCGGGUCAGUCUGUCUUUCAGAGAGCAGAGCAGACUGCACACGUGCAACCUACCAGUAAUUUCCCUUUCAUAUCCCACAGUCCUUGUUCCUGUUGGCUAACCAUUUCUGUCCAGUUGUAACCUCACGUUGUUAUACAUCCUUUUGCCUUGCAUUCAAUGGGCCCCCAUCAGCAUACCUGAACACGUGGUCUAUAUUAUUUCUGAUAUUGGUGUGAGUGGCGCAGCCAGGUCUGAUUUAGCCCCUGCCUGUGUCAGUACACAAUCUCACACAUACCCCUUCCUUUCUUUUGCUCAAGAGGCUGAAGCAAAAACAAAUGCAGAGGGUGCCAAGCACUCCUCAGAGAGAGCACUGACUAGGUAUGCCUCCUGCUUGAGUGCAAAACUGCCAGUUACAGAAGAGUGCAAUCUGAUCCAAGGAGGCUUUACAUUUAAUUUUGUUCUCAGCUAUCUGUUCUACAAAAUCCCAAAUGGAGUCUUCCUUCUUUCUUUAGUUUUACCAGUUCACAGGAUCCUUUAGCAUCCAACAUAACAGCAGUGCUUCCUGUGCUCUGGAAAUAGAACAGUCCUGAUAGGCAAGUCCCUUUUAGGGUGUCAAGGGGACCAUCAUGAAGCUGUGAGCUCCUAGCUUCUUGCCAACACUCUGAAUCAGUCCUAAACUCCAGGAAGAACCAGCAUCUGAAAACCCAGUGGAGACCACAGGGAGGUGUUUUUUUGGCUCUCCUUCAGCAUUUGCCCUGUCAUUGUUCACCUUAUGUGUGGAACAGACCUUGGAUGAGGUUUAAAUCACUUGUAUGAGUCCCACCUGAGUUCCCCUCUGUAGCUGCUUGAGGUUAAAUAGGACUAGAUGGCCCUUGUCUUCCAGGAUACUGCAGUCUUUGAUGUGUCUUUGACAUUUUCACACAGCCUAUUUGUUACGUUUAACAUGUUCUUUUCUGUCCGGUUCUCUUAGAAUUUUUUUUGUAUGUUUUUUUUUUCUUUGAACUUGCAUGUGUCAGUGAAGAUUUUGUGCUAACAAAAAAAAAUCUCUUAAGUUUUCAAGUGUCAUCAGGCUGCAAACUUUGGGAUUGCCUUUGGUGAUGCAGAUCUGGGCUCUGCUACUAAAACAGGAAGACAGAUGUCUUCAUCAUUCUGAACCAAAAUUUAAAGUUGAAGUGGAGAAGAAAGAGGAUUUGCAGUGAGUGUUUCCUCUCUCCUCUCCACUUAAGACCAAAAUGAACUUCUCUAAAGAGAUCACAGUACUUUGAUCUAGUAGAUAAAUUUUGAUUUGGGCAGAGGACAGCACUUAGAAGCAGGCACUCCCAGCUGCUGGCAUGCUGUUAACUUGAUGUGUCCUGAGGAAUUCAGAAAGUGAUAACACUGCACUUAGACUAGAAAAAUCAACAAAACCAAAACAGGUUCCCCAACAUCAGGAUUAAAUCAUUGAAGGAAAAGAGAUAGUUAUUACUUGUAGGUGAUUCCUCUCUGCAGAGAACUGAAUGCCUGAUAUUAUGAGCAGAUCCUCUUGGAGAAGUCUGCUGCCUCCAUGGAACUUACGUGAAGGAUGUCACCAGGAAACUACCCAGCCUGGUAUAACUGACAGACCUCUACCCUUUACUGCUUUUCCAUGUGGGGAGUGAUAAAGCAGCUACACAUGGGUUUAGGGCAACCAAGAGGGUCUUCAGGGCCUUGAGAUGCUGGCUGAAGGAUUUGAGAGUACAGAUGAUCUUUUCUUCUCUGCUUCUUGUAUUGGGUAAGGGCAUUGAAACUGAUGAGAGGAUGUUAUCUUUAAAUACCUGGCUUUGUGGCUAGUGCCACUGCCAGAACUUUGUUUUUUUCUUUACAACCAAAUGGCCUACAAGGCACCAGGUUUGUGGGUACUGGAUGGAGUUCACCUUUCUUCUUGGGAAAAAGCUAGUCGGGUUCAUUGGGAGGGCUUUAAACUAAGUCUGAACAGGACAGGAGGGACAGAGAGUCUUUGCAUGAUAUUGCAUAACUAUUUUAGAGGGACAGGAUGUUAGCAGAGGCCCUUGAUCUGCUCCCAUGAGAGGUGCUGGCAACACUGCAGCACAUAUGAAAUUCUAUGAUGAUGAGGCAGGUACUGCUGGGGCAAUAGAAGGCAAUGAGGAAACUCAAGAAAUACUGAAAAAGAAUGAAUAGUUAAAAUAAACCUCUAGGAAGGUGACAAGGCCUGCUGCUCAGCUGAAGUGCCUCUACUCCAAUGUAUGCAGCUUGGAAAACAAACAGGAGGAGCUGGAAGCCACUGUGCUACCAGAAAACCGUGAUAUAGUUGUCAACGAAACCUUGUGGAAUGAUUCCCAUGACUGAGUGUGGCUAUUGAUAGCCACACGCUUUUUGGAAGGAACAGACAAGGAAGGAGAGGAUGGGGUCUACGUGAGGAGGCUGUCUACAUCAGGAAAAGAACAGAAUGUGAAGAGCUGUCCCUAGAAGGCCAUCAUGAGCAAGUCAAAAGCCUAUGGGUGAUAGUUGGAGAUUGAGGCAGCAAAGGGAGCAUUGUGGCUGGUGUUUACUACAGACUACCUGAUCAAGCAGAGCCUGUCAAUGAAGCCUUUUAACUCCAGUUACAGGAGGUGUUGCAAUCGCAAGUGCUUGUCCUUCUGGGGGGCUUCAACCUCCCAGACAUCUGCUGGAAAAGUAGCACACCAAGCUGUAGGCGAUCCAGAAAGCUUCUGGAAUGCAUUGAGGAUAACUUAUUUAGCCAAUUAAUAGAUGGCCCCACCAGGGGGGAUGCAAUACUGGACGUAUGUUGCUCACCAAUGCAAAUGAAAUGAUUGGUGACAUCUGGAUGAGAGGCUGCCUGGGCUGUAGUGAUCAUGCUAUGGUGGAGUUCAUGCUCCUGAGGGAUAUGAGACAGUCAAAAAGUAAAAUUGGGACGCAAAAUUUUAGGAAAGCUAACUUCAGGGAGUUAGUAGACAAAGCCCCCUCGGAAACUGUCCUCAUGGGCAAGGGUGCAGAGCAGAGCUGACAGAUCUUUAUGGAGGCUUUCUUAAGGGUGCAAGAGCUCUCCAUCCCCAGGUGUAGCAAAUCAGGAAAGGAAGGCAAGAGACCAGCAUGGCUGAACUGGGACCUGCUGGUCAAACUGCAUAGCAAGAAGGAAAUGCACACACAGUAGAACCAGGGACAGAUACCAUGAGAAGAAUAUAAGGAAGCUGCUUAGGCUAUGUAGAGAUGGGGUCAGGAAAGCCAAAGCCCAGCUUGACCUGAGCUUGUCAAGGGGUGCCAAAAAGAACAAUAAAGGCUUCUACAGAUACCUCAACCAGAAAAGGAAAGUCCAAGGGGGUGUAACCCCUUCAGUGAGUGACAAAGGCAAGCUGGUAACAACAGACAAGAAAAAGUCUGAGAUACUCAACAACUUUUUUGCCUUGAUCUUCUCUGAUAACUGCUCAUCACACAGCCCUCAAAUUAAUGGUUUGGAAGGAGGGGACUGGGGAAGCAAUGCUGUGAGUGAAGAUCAGGUUUGUAAUCACUCAAGGAAGAGGAAUAUCCACGAGUCUAUGGGUCCUGAUGAGGUGCAUCCCAGUGUGCAGAGGGAAUUAGCUGAUGUAGUCACCAAGACACUCCCAGUGAUAUCUGAAGUCAUGGCAGUCAGAUGAAGUACCUGGUGACUGGAAAAAAGGCAACAUCAUACCCAUUUUUAAAAAGGAUAAAAAGGAUGAGCCAGGGAAUUAUCAACUUGUCAAUAUCACCUGCAUGCUGGGAAAGAUCAUGGAGCAGAUCCUCCUGGAAGCUAUGCUAAAGCACAUAGAAGACAGGGAGGUGGUACAGGAGAACCAGCAUGUCUUCACCAAAAGGCAAGUCCUACUUGACCAACCUAGUGGCCUUCUGUGGUUGUGUAACUGCAUCAGUGGACAAAGAAAGAACCACCGAUGUCAUCUAUUUGGACUUCAGUAAGGCCUAUGUCAUGGCAUCCCACAACAUCUUUAUCUCCAAAUUGGAAAGAUAAUGGAUUUGAUGGAUGGACUGUUCAAUAGAUGAGGAACUUGCUGCAGGAUCAAACCCAGAGAGUGGUGGUCAAUGGAUCAAUGUCUGGAUGGAGAUCUGAGCCGAGUGGUGUCCCUCAGGGUCAGUGCUGGGAUUGAUACUCUUUAAUAUCUUUUUCAGUGACACUGACAGUGAGAUUGAGUGCAUCCUCAGAAAGUCUGCAAAUGACACUAAGGUGUAGGGUGUAGUUGACAUGCCAGAGGGACAGGAUGCCCUCCAGAGGGAUCUAGAUAGGCUCAAGCAGUGGGCCCAGGAGAACUUCAUUAAGUUCCACAAAGCCAAGUGCAAGGUUGUGCACCUGGGUCAAGACAACCCCCUCUACCAAUACAAGCUGGGGGAUGAAAGGAUUGAGCACAGUCUUGCCAAAAAGGACCUGGGGGUACUGGCGGAUGGCAAGCUGGACGUGACUAGCAACGUGUCUUCGCAGCCCAGAAAGCCAACUGUAUCCUUAACUGCAUCUAAAGAAGUGUGGUCAGUAAGUUGAAGGAGGUGAUCCUGCCCCUCUACUCUGCACUGAUGAGAUCUCACCUGGAGUACUGUGUCCAGGUGUGGAGUCCUCAGUACAGGAGAGACAUGGACCUAUUGGAGCGUGUCUAGAGGAGGGCCACAAAAAUGAUCGAGAGGAUGGAAUACCUCUCCUACAAGGACAGACUGAGAGAGCUGGGGCUUUUCAGUGUGGAGAAGGCUCCGAGCUGACCUGAGAGCAACCUUUAAAUAUCUAAAGGGCAGCUAACAGGAAAGAAGGGGACAGACUCUUUAGCGGGGUCUGUGGUGACAGAACAAGGGGAAGUGGUUUCAAACUAAAAGAGGGGAGAUUUAGGUUAGAUAUGCAGAAGAAGAGAUGGCAAGGCACUUGAGCACAUUGCCCAGAGACGUGGUGGAAACCCCGUUCCCAGACAGAUUCAAGAGCAGGCUGGACCAGAUUCUGAGCAACUUGAUCUAGCUGUAGAUAUCCUUGUUCACUGCAGGGAGUUGGAGCACAUGUCUUUUCAAGGUCCCUUCCAACUCUAAAGAUUCUACGAUUCGAUGAUGUGCAAGCAAGAUCCAAAUUCUCUGAAAUCAUUGGCAUCCCUUCUGUUGACCUCAUGUGACUUUGGAUUAUACCUUGAAUUUUCAAAGGAGACAGACUUUUAAAACUGUUUGGAGGAUGAAAAGGCCAGACAAAAGUUCCUGCGUGAUGUUUAGGGCUACAUCUUAAUUUUUCCAUUAUGCUUAUCAGCAGUGUAUAUCAUCAGUAGGUAGUGACAGAGACGAAGACGCUAUGUUUUUGUAGUAGACCAGUGUUUAUCUUUCAAUAAAAAUAAUUUCUUCAGCUUAAUUUCUCAUACUGUCCUCUAUGUUGGUACAGUAAGAUCAAGUAUUCUCUUGCCCUAAAAAGUGGUAUUUGAUAGAAAAUAGCAGAAAAUUUGGACAGUGUACCUUCAGCUAAUUACGUCAGUGGUAGUGAUAUUCAACUGCCAUGGGGCAAUUUGCUGGAAAAAGAAUGAGAAGAACUGCACAUCAAAGGCCAUCAGUGUGAGGAUAAAGCCUACAGUGAGAAGGCAGAAGAUCCAAACUAUGGGGGGAGUGGGCUGUGUAGAGCAGCUGGCUGGGAGAGGGCAAGCAAGAAUGCAUGGAGAGGGAAAGUCUAAUACUGGACUCAGAGUGAAAGUGACAGCAAGGAUGCUAAGGUAGAAAGGUAUUUAGCUGGGGAGUCAUUUGAAGUGGUAUUCCUCUUCUUUUCUUUGGCUCUUGCUUCUUGUUACCACUACCCUGUGGGAUCCCAUGGGUCAGCUGAAAGGGGGAACAAACCUGACUGAAAAUGAAUCAUUUUCUGCCCUCCAAGUGUAGCUGUCAAUGGAUCAGACACAGACCUGACUCCCACACAGGUCUUCAAGCAGUGAUGCCUGAACAGCGGGAUGGUACAGUGCAACCAGGGGCUGCUAUCAAUGGUAGUCAGGGACAUCCACAUUCCUACGUUUCACAUACUCCUUCUCUUUGAAAGUAUUAAGGCUAAAACUGCUUACAGAUUGUGAAAUGUGAAAACCUUCCUACUCAUGGGGCUUUAUCCCAGCUAAGAGCUGACCUGGGAUGCGUAUGGCCGCAAGCAGCCUUUUCACAUGUCUCUUGGGUGUUGCUGCUUCUGCCUGAGUCUGUAACUACCCCCUAAGGAGGGAGAGGACAAGAAGCUCUGCACUUUUGAGGCCAUACAAUAGUCAAAAAGGAAUUUAAACUGAAUUCAGUCACUUCUGCCCUGAGUUACCUUUUGCUAGGAGGUCUUUGCCUCACUCAGAGAGGCACGGUGACACUGUUGAAUCUCUCUGCCUUUUUCUCAGGAUGCUGCUUUUAAUAGGAGCUCUGAUGUAAAGAGGUGUGAGCCAAAUGUCCCACACCCAGCCUGAUACACCUAAUUCGCUGUUUAGUGCUUCACUGGGCUCCAUAUAGUGCUGAUCUACUCUUUGCUCUUAAUGCUUCCUACCUUGGACUUAGCUGUUAGCUGUGAGCAUACCUGGAGAUAGAUCACACAGAACACUGAGCACUCCUUCCCUGAAAACAAAAGCUGAAGUGACCCAGGCCAGGCCAAGAGAAGGUAUCCAUGAGGCAGCUGCAGUGGUUCUGCCUACCACUAUGUGCCAGCACAAGCAAGCAAAUUCCAAGAAGAUACUGUCAGCAGCUCUGUGAAUACAGGAGAGUGGUUACAAGCACUAUCUGCCUCAAAGACAGAAGAAACCACAGACUGACUGCAGCCUCACCUUAUGCUUUCUGAUACAUUUGCUGAUGUACUGUAGUACCUGCACGUAGGUAGUUGUGAAAACAAACAUGCAGAUAGAUGCAAAGGCCAUCUGGCCAGGUAAAACAGCCUGUGUUUUAGCAUGCAUGUAAUAACACUCACAUACAAAGGAGAAAGAUGUUUAUUCCUCAAAGCUGUUAUGUAUUGUGUUCUGGGAGAGAAAAAUUUGCUAGGACUGUUUUGCCCCAGCAUGGGCCCCAUAGUUUUACACACUGACUCAAAGGGCAACUCAGGCAAGUCGAUUUCAUAAUUCAGAAGAUUUCCCCCAUUUUUCUCUUUACAUUUUCUCAAUUUUAAUAAUCACCUUGUGCUCAAAUUUCAGACUGUUUGCCUGAAAAAGAGAGAGCAUGUGCUUGCAAAUAUUCCUGCCUGGUUAGUAAAUGAUAAAAUUAACAAGCUUGACUGCUUGAAAAGUGCUCUGCAGUUGAACAUUUCCUAUUUAAUUAACUGUUCGAGGGACAGAUUCUCCAUCUAGUCAAAUGUCCAUUUAUUGUCCAACUGGAAAUGAUGGGAGUUGGGUGGGAUGGUGAGAGGCAAAGAGAAAAUAUUAUGGAUACCUUCCUGUUCAUUCUAUACCAGUGCUUCAUGAGCUGUUUUACCAGCUGAAGUUACAUGUUCCCACCAUAUCUCUUCACUACUCUGUCGUACCCUUGUUUCCAGAGCUGAAGGGAAGGGAAUGGCUCUGAGCUUCAAUCCCACUACUCCAUCCUUCCACAGUAUGAAAAAGCCACAACAACAUGCAGAAUCUGGCCUCUCUUAUCAAUAUCUGAGAUUCUGUGUUUUCAUUAUCAAAUGGUUUUAUUGAAGCUUGGGAUUUGCCAUGGAGGGUGUUCUUUAAAAAUCUGCCAAGUUUACUUUUGAAAAAACAGAUAACCUUACCUUGUUGUUUGUGGUAUUCCUUGUGCUGCUCUUCCCACUUCAGUGGAAGGCUGCUGAGGAUGUUUAGGCAAAGGCUAAGAUAAAUGUACUUCAAUAUCAAAAUAAACAACAGAGGGUAAUGGGCAGCUUAUAUUAUUCAUGCUUAUACUGGAUUGUAGUUUGUGUUUAAAAAGAGCUCUCCCAGAGCUUUUAUCCAGUGACUCCAAAGUUCAGAAGGAUCAAGUCAGCUCUGUCAUGAAUAAUGACUGAUAUUGUCUGUGUGCACACGUGGUUUUGAGCACAGUACUCUAAAAUUACAGCAGGCUGAAGCCUGUGCUGCUAAGAGCUGUUCAGCUUCCCACCACUCCUCAUGUUCUCCGAGUGUCCUAGGAGCACUGCACCUCCUUCAAGGCAGACAGUGGGACUGCCAUUGUUCUUAGCACUGGAAAUGGUCAGAGUGUCUGCAUCUGGAGUAGAGUCAUCCUUGGCUACAUAGAAUCUGUCUCCUGCUUGGGGCUGCUCUGCACAGCUGGAGGAGGAAGAGCUGAUGAUUUUCUACCACAUGAGAGCUCUCAUUCCAGAAGAUAGACACUAACUUUCUUGGUCAAGUCCAUGUGUACUAUUUUGGAAUGCCUUUCUAUCCAGGCAUAUUUUCUGUAAGGGCAGCUAAUGAAGACAGUCAUAGGGAAAUGAUGAUUUCACUGUAAUGAUGUAGAAGAGAGAACAUACAUGUAUUCAUGUGCAGAUGAUGAAGAUAAAGAAGUUACACAAAGUCUCUCUUUUGAGAUGGUAGCAUGUUGCCAGCAAAUAAUAAAUAAUAGCAACUGUAGAGUAAUUCUUCCACAGGAAAAUUUAUCCACCACAAAAAUUACCAUAACUAUUCACCACCCUCUGGUCUGGCAGAGCAAAAGCCAGAAGCUUAACAUUCUGCAUAAGGGGAAAAAAGAAAUUCUCCAGGGCAGACUUUUAGUGGUCAGAAUGGGUCGUGGUUUUCCUGCUCUGAAGUGCAAUGCAAAGAAUGAAGAUCAGAGUUAGCCAACUGAUUUUUCAGGCAUAAAGUCUGAGAAGAGCAGAUAUGAAAUCCUGGAUGUUUAAUCUUCAAUUCCAUGUUUUUCUUGCUCCCAUGUAUUUGUUACAUCAGGAGAUUAUGACCAUCCUAAAUCUACCAUCCUAGAAUAAACAACACAAGGCGUAACUGUCUCAGAGAACAAAAUUAAGACAAGAUUGCUAAUUUGAGCCAAAUUUUGGUGGAGAGAUUCACUGCUUCAUAGGUAAGUGAACAGAUAAAACAUACAAUGCUGCUGGUUCAUUAGGGCACAUAACAUAAACUGUUCUAUGGCCUGAUCCUGCAACUCCUAAGGGAUACAAUCUGAGGCCUCAAGUGUCCUGUUCACACUGAAUGGCCCUCAAAGAAGCACCUGAUGUGAGACAUUAGUCUUUACAAUCUAAAGCAAAACUGAGAAAAAACAGUUGCAGAGUUCUGGAAGCAUCAGUGCAAAACACAGCUGUACAAAAUGGGUUCAUGUUUGAUCUUUCUAAGAAGGCACUAAGCAGAUAGUUUACUACUUCCUGACAGACUGAGUGGCUGGCACUACAGGUAUUACCUUUGUCCUGUAUUUCUCUGUUGCCAUAUCCAAAUGUUGAUAGUGUGAUGCUAUUCUACUGCAGGAGAAAGCAGGAGGCAGCAGGAUUCUCUGCUGUGCCUCAGCUCCACAGGGCAGAAUUAAUUCUUACCAGCUUAUCCCUUUGCUUAUACAGACGUAAGUCUGCUGGUCUCAGAGAAUAACUCUGCCAGCUCCAAAUCAAGCCUGCUGACCUCAAUGAGUAUAUCUUAGAGCACAGCAUUGCUGGUGUUGUAGACACUACAGGAUUCAGUGGUGAUAACCUGCUGGAAUUUCUGACAUGGGAAAACCUUCUGUAUUUUAGGGAAUACCACAUAGGUUUAGCUGAUAUGGAAAUAACUUUAAGAAGUCCCUUUCUCUUUUCCUUGUGAUUGUCAGAGAAUCCGGGAAUCUCUCACAGUAUGCUUCUCCAAGAAGCAUGAAACUUCAUUUCAAGGCAGUAUUCUUUUAAGAACAUCUGGCAACUUCUUACAGAGAGAGUUGGCCUUGGUUUUGCAUCCUAGGUCUGUUGUCACAUUAUAGAGAAACUAGUCUCUGUGCUUCUGGAAUUUAAUUGUAUUUCUGCUGAUAAUGAACACUGGUGUUUCUAAAAAUAUGAAAUCUGUGCUGCAGUCCUAGGUAUUCUAGGUAUUAGUCCCUUUGGCGAGAAUGAUAAACAGGACAGAACUUGGAAGAUUUUACUUCUGAAUUAAUUCAAGGAAACUACCUCCAAAACCAGUUCUACUGAACUAGCACAGUCAAGUGUCUGAAAGUGAGGAACCAACAAAUUCUGAUUGUCCCAACCACCUUAAUUCUACUUGCUUGGGAGUAUGAAAAACAGAACAAUAUUUGGCAACAAGAUCUCUCUUACCCUAGAAUCUCAGUCUCUCCGGCACACAGCUUGAGAGGACAAGGAAGGAGAUUUGUUAUUCAUUAUUAUUGUACUAAUUGUUGAUAUCCCCCUGACACAAACAAUUUAGAGAAUUCCAAGUAUUAUGCAGCUCUCCUGCCAGAUCAUAAUAGACUGACACAACUAUAACUACCUAUUUAAGAAGAUUAGCCAGAUUUUAUUUGCCUAAGAAUUUAAAGUGACAAAACCACUUACAACAUCCAGGAAAUGAUCACUAAAAAUUAAUUACUGCACAUUCUUUUAUUAGCUUAAUAUGUAUGUGUCAGUCUAUACAUAAAACAUCGAACACUCAGGCAUCAGACUAAAGCAGCUAUGAAUUGGUAGGCGUCAUUCACUGUUGAGUUCCCUUCGAGUCCUGCUGGCAGCAAUGAGGAGCCCUCCAGGCUUUAUUUUCUAUUUGUGCUGCAGCCUUCUGUUAAAAGGAGGUUGGUUGGUUGCAGAGGAUAAUCUCUCUCAGCAGCUCGGGUUUCAGCACAUAAGUGAGAGCAAGGAAGGGAUGAGAGGAAACACAAAAGAGCAGGUAGAAAACUCAUCUCUGUGUGAAACCUCAGCCACUUUUCUUAUUGAUAAUUUUUUGCACCACACUAACAGUCAGAGGCACCUCCCAAGUUCACUGACGUGCUGUGCCAGGGAGGAGAUUCAGAAUUCUCACCACUCGCCCAAUGACAAGGAUUAAAUUGCCCACGAGCUUUUAGCCUACAGACCCCCACGUCCAAACCAACCGGUGUUUCUCUUCCGUCCUCCGCCG